GGGGAAAAGCUCAAAUUUUAAAUCUGCCAGGUUUUACCUGUCAGAGUUGUAAUUUGAAGAAGUGUUUUCCGCGUCUCGGUUGACCCAAAUCCUUUGGGAUGAGGUAUCAUGGAGGGUGAGAAUCCCGUUCGGUUGACCUUGUGACGCACUACGAUACGCUUUCUAA
rnacentral:rRNA from 1 species